rnacentral:rRNA from 1 species
GUGAGGAAUUUUCCGCAAUGGGCGAAAGCCUGACGGAGCAAUGCCGCGUGAAGGAUGAAGGCCUAUGGGUUGUAAACUUCUUUUCUCAGAAAAGAAUUAUGACGGUAUCUGAGGAAUAAGCAUCGGCUAACUCUGUGCCAGCAGCCGCGGUAAGACAGAGGAUGCAAGCGUUAUCCGGAAUGAUUGGGCGUAAAGCGUCUGUAGGUUGUUUAAAAAGUAUUCUGUCAAAGAUUAGGGCUUAACCCUAGAUAGGCAGAAUAAACUUUUAAGCUAGAGUUAGGUAGAGGCAGAGAGAAUUCCCGGUGGAGCGGUGAAAUGCGUAGAUAUCGGGAGGAACACCAAAGGCGAAGGCACUCUGCUGGGCCAAUACUAACACUGAGAGACGAAAGCGAGGGGAGCAAAUGGGAUUAGAAACCCUGGUAGUCC